rnacentral:tRNA from 1 species
GGGAGCAGAUGGAUCCUGGUGGGUCUCCUGGACUUCAAAUCCAGUGUCGGGCGGUAAGACCGGCCGGGGUGGGUUCGAUUCCCACAUGCUCCCGCCA